rnacentral:rRNA from 1 species
UACGUAGGGACCAAGCGUUGUUCGGAUUUACUGGGCGUAAAGGGCGCGUAGGCGGCCUUCUAAGUCAGACGUGAAAUCCCUCGGCUUAACCGGGGAACUGCGUCUGAUACUGGAUGGCUCGAGAUUGGGAGAGGGAUGCGGAAUUCCAGGUGUAGCGGUGAAAUGCGUAGAUAUCUGGAGGAACACCGGUGGCGAAGGCGGCAUCCUGGACCGGCAUUGACGCUGAGGCGCGAAAGCCAGGGGAGCAAACGGG